GAGUUUGAUUCUGGCUCAGAUUGAACGCUGGCGGCAUGCUUUACACAUGCAAGUCGAACGGCAGCGCGGGCUUCGGCCUGGCGGCGAGUGGCGAACGGGUGAGUAAUACAUCGGAACGUGCCCAGUAGUGGGGGAUAGCUCGGCGAAAGCCGGAUUAAUACCGCAUACGACCUGAGGGUGAAAGCGGGGGACUUUAGGGCCUCGCGCUAUUGGAGCGGCCGAUGGCAGAUUAGCUAGUUGGUGGGGUAAAGGCCUACCAAGGCGACGAUCUGUAGCUGGUCUGAGAGGACGACCAGCCACACUGGGACUGAGACACGGCCCAGACUCCUACGGGAGGCAGCAGUGGGGAAUUUUGGACAAUGGGCGCAAGCCUGAUCCAGCAAUGCCGCGUGUGUGAUGAAGGCCUUCGGGUUGUAAAGCACUUUUGGCAGGAACGAAAAGUGCCGUGCUAAUACCACGGUGCGAUGACGG
rnacentral:rRNA from 1 species